AAAGAAAGAUUAUUAUGAUCUCGGAAAAAGUACGUAAAACGACUAAUUUUGUUAAGUUAACGUAACUAAAAAAUAACAAAAUAAAUAAAUGAAGAAGAAAACCAAAAAAUGUAAAAAAUGCACGUGUCAAAUUUUCGCGCGGUCGAACUAGUUCGUAGUUUCGAAAAUGACGCUAGAGGUCGUUGCGAAAAAAGAGGAGGGAAAAGGUAGAGCGGAUAUCUUCUCAGCGCGAGCUAAUAGCGGGUUUUUCGUUUUGAAAGCAAAGGUUGCUUCGCGCGCGCAUGCGCAUUGCAUCGCAUCUUUCAAAAAGAAUCGAUAUUUGUCAUGCGCACACGUUACGUAUAUAAGCUCGUAAAUGAGCGUGACAAGUUAUUGAAGAGAAAUGGGAACAAAGAGGAAAGAGACGAAGUACAUCGAAGAGAAGUACGCGCAUUUUAUCGAACAUGCCGUAUCGUGAAUUUCAAGAAUAAGGAAAAAUAAAGGAAAAAAGAAUAUAAAUCGUCAUGAAAGACGCCGUUGCAGACGCAAGCACCGCCCACUUCUUUUCUUGGGGCGCGUUCCUGACCAUAUGGUGGGGAUAGAAGCGAGCCACGACGACCCGACGUUGGGAGUCGCGUGAAUUACCCGCGGAUUGGAAACCGUGUUAUGUCGAUUUUACGUAUUGCAAGCGAGCCAUAAUUAACGACUCGUAUGAUCGAGAAAUUAUUUGCUCGCGUAAUAUCUUCUCACGGUGGAUCGACACAGUUUUAUUUACACCGAGUUAACGAUUAUGAGGUAUAUAUCUUGAAUGGAUAAGAAACAGGACGUAUGAAUGUUCUUCAGCCUGGAUGAAAUUUGUACACGGAUGAAUGGUCUUAAAACGUGUUCGCUGUACGAACGCAUCAAUCAACGUACUAUCUAUCUAGUUACAUAAUACGUGUUCAUAAUACGGUCUAUCUAAUACAUCAAGAAAAUCUUCUAAGAAAAUAACUUCGUGGUAAAAUGUCGAAAUUCGUUAACUUCGUUAAAAGCGAUAAUUCUUAAUAAAUAAAAUGUCCUCAAAUAGCAAAAAAAUUUAGAUUAUUCGAAUAAAACAAUUACAGUUUCUAUUACGAUUUUAUCUUCCAUUAUUAUAUUCCAUUAAUAAUUAUCAUAAUUAUUUCCACACUUCAUAAAUGAUUCCUAAAUCGUUCAAAAUCGAGAUUCGUCGAUUCUAAUCUCGAUUGAAAUGAUUUUAAACGACAAGAUCAAAUUUCUUAUGAAAAAAGAUAAAGACAUUCUAUGUGUCUUCGUAAUAGUUCGAUAAGAUACUAUCUAUGGAAGGAAAGGAUAACCUCGAAAGAAUAAUCGAGAAAUCGAUAUGAUCCGAUCAUAUAUCGAUAUUAUGACAAUAUCCCCGACAACAACGACAACGAUAACAACGAUAACGAAGACGAAGCAAAGACGACGUUAAUUGGCCCAAUCGUUUCCUCGGCUCUUGGAGGCACGUCUGGUGUGUCUCCGGCUGGGAUCCCCUGGUGGGGGUCAACGAGAGAGUCACCCCUCAACUGUCGAGGAUUAAUAGACGAAGCGCCAGUAGCCGACAGAUAACAACGAAUGAAGACGCAUGGAAAGUUCUCUCUCUCUCUCUCUCUCUUUCUUUUUCAUCGAACAUUAUCCUGAGUGAGAAAAAGAGAGUCAGAGAGAGAGAGAGAGAGAGAGAGAGAGAGAGAGAGAGAGAGAGAGAGAGAGAAGUCAAAGAGGACAACAAAGAUUCGACCGAGUUCAGGGCCCAUGGGAUUUUUCCAUCGACUUGUCGACAUCCAGAUUUUUAUCUUUCGAAUAAGAAUAUUAAGACGCUCUUAGUAAAUUUUUUAUCUCAAUUAUUUUGCAAGAUAAUUUACAAUGAAUUUAAUUAAUGAUUCUAUCUAUCUAAUCUUGUAUAAUCCUCAUUCCUUAUUUUCAUAAUCAAUUUAAUCGAUAUAAGAAUAAUUUUUAUCUUUGUAUAUCGAAGAAAAAAAUAUCUAAUACGUAACGUAGUUUUAAAACGGGAUCGACAAAAAUCAGGCUAAAAAAAUGUUUUGAUAAUUUGUCGAGAGGAAGAAACGUGUCUUGAAAUAUCCAUAAAAAUGAAUUAUCUCACGCGUUGAUCAAAAUUGAGAUCAAAGCAUCAUGAGAAUUUCUCUUAGUCAACUUUUCUUAUAAUCUCGUAAAUGCACGAUACGUUAUUCUCGUACACGAUAACACAAUAUUAACGCAACUGGUUGAUAGCGAGUAUUUCUUUAUAUACUAUCGUAAUAUUCACAUACACAUAGAAAGGUGGAUGUUAGCAACGUUGGUAAUCGUAUAUAAUAAGGCGGCUCCUAGACUUGUUGUUAGAUAAGAUAGUGGAAUUUUACUGAACGUUGCAUAUAUAUAUAUAUAUAUAUAUAUAUAUAUAUAUAUAUAUACACAUGUGUGUAUAUAUGUAUGUAUAUGUAUACGUAAAUCGGUAACGAGACAGCGAGUAAGAUGAUAUGUCUCAUUCAAUGCGAACCACGACUCGAGAGGAUCGAUGAUCAUAAAGAUGUUUACAUAUCGUGGUUAAUACCGAACCCCUUCUACUCUAUCUCUUUGCAGCGCAACAAUGAACUUUUUAAAAGCGCAUCUCAUUACGAGUCAUGAAGUUACCUUUGUUUGUCUUAUCUUUCAAGCAUUUUAAUUAUUGUCUAUCGAUAACGUUCAAAUUCUUAAUAAUUCCUUUUACAUUCAAUAAAAAAAUCAUUCUCACAAGUUUUUCUUCCGAAUCCUUUUUAUUAUGUAUUAUUUAUAAAAAUUAGAAAGAGAAAAAAAAGGGAGGGAAGGGAGAGGAAGAGAUUAAUUAAAAUAUGUAUAUACUGACGUUAUGAAUUAUCAUUAUCUUUUUAGAAAAAUGUGGACGAUAGUGAAUGUAAAGACGUAGUAGAAAUGUUUCUUUCUUUUCUUUUAUUUAAUCUUGUAGAUAAGAAAAAGCAUAUUAAAUAAGUUGAAAUAAUUAUUGUAGAAAAGAAAAAGAAAAUUUAAAUAUAAUUUAUACCGACGUAUUAUAUUCAUUCUUAUUACACUUGUUAGUGUUAUUGCUAUUAUUAGAGUAUAUUAUCUUGCAAAUAUUGUAUCACAAACAAUAUCACUUUAUUUAUUUUCUUAUCUAUCAUGGAUUCUAUUGUGAUAAUCGAUAUUUCAUUGUUCCGUCAUGACGGUGCAUCUACAGUCUUCGCGAUAAUUCCAUCGAUUUUGCGAACAGAGCACGUUUAUAUAUGCAUACAUAUUUGACAGAAACUUCACAACGUAAUUGAACGUGACAUUAAAUGAAAAUCUUACGUAGGUGUAAAGUAAUGAGAAGUCGCAAAAUAAACCGAUAAGCUAUUCUAUUCGUACGCACGUACGCAUACACGCACGCACGCACGCACAAAAUUAAGAUCGCCUUGAACUCUUUCCAUCCUUAUUCUUUUUCUUAUUCUUUUUCUUCUUCUUUUUAUAUUUCUCUUCGUCCUUCUCUUUGAUUACGGCGAGAAAGAAAAAAAAAAGGAAAAACAAAAAUUUGCCUGCUCGUCUAUUUACACAAUGAUCACGGAUAAAUUAUAUUUUAUCUUUUUUUUGUCUAUUCUCAUCGCUAUCUCCUUUUUUUAUUUAUAUUCUUUAUGUGCAAGUAUAUAUACAUAGAGAAGGAAACAUUUUCGUAUUAGUUAAAAAUUAUCCAGGUUUAACAUUCAACUCUUCGUAUUAGCAUGUUUUUCCGGUUCUCGUAUUAAUUUAUCGAGUUUCUACUAUUUCGGCACGGAAGGUCGAGCUAAUGCAAAUCUUGGUUUCUUUAUAUUCAUUUUGGUUGCUACAUAUAUGUGUGCGUGUGUGCGUGUGUAUACUUAUACAUAUAUAAAUCUGCCAUUUAACGAUUUGAAAGUUAAAGAUCUAGAGAAGUAGAAAAUUUCUCAAAUAAAGGAGAAGAAGAUCUUGACAUUCUUUAUCUUUUAUU